GGACAAUGGGCACUUUUGUAUGGGGAGUGUCCCAUGGAUGUAUACUGUUGAGACAUAUGUCGUUUUAAAGCUCUUAAUCGUAGUAUUAUUUUAUUGUAUGGCACCAACCUUGGACCACUUGCAGGGACCGAGCUAUAUAAAAAAAGAAGUUGCGCAUAUAAGCAGUUAUAUUUCCUUAUACGCGGGAUAUAAAAAGUUUAAGCGUAUUUUAUUCGAAAGAAUAUAAAAAAUGCUUUAUGUUUUUUGUAUCAACACCAAUGAUAAAGUAUUUAAAGGGACACAAUGUACAGUUUAAAAAAAUCGUCAUUCUAAAAAUUACUUGAUACACAGCGAAAUAAGAGUGUAUACAAAUGCCAUGUAUAUCAUGUGAAAAGUAUUUUUAUAAGCUAUUUUUCGUAUAAUAUAACUGGGGUCAAAUCGUUGCAGGGACCAAAAUAAAACCAUUUAAUGAGUUAAUUAAUUGUAGUUAAUUACGCCUUUACUUUUCUACUCAACGCCAGAUGUCGCUCUAAAGCAAAAUUCUACUUGACGUAAAACAUUUAUACAUAGCGGUAAUCUCGUCAGUCUUACUCCAUCAUUUUAAAAAGUAUAGACUAGUUUAUGGAUUUCUAAAGUUAUGUCAAGAUGACUCUGAAUGUAAUAUUGUCAACAAUAAUUGUCAAAACACGCAAUUUAAAAUAUUCAACAUUGUAAUUACAAAAUAGUAUAUUUCUAAUACGCUAUAAUUUUCUCCAAUCGAAAGGCACUCCAUUCCAUUGAUCUCAGAGAGUAUGCUCCUUGAUGAUCUUCACUAUUCAUGGGGUAGAAACCAUACGGCAAUAAUGAGGAUGCAUCGACAUAAGAAGAAUCGAACAUGGGCAAGAUAAAGUUCAAGAAAAAAGCAAAUAUAAUGUGUACUUGUGUGUAGUCAAAGAAAGUUGAAAAAUAAAGCAUAAUUAAUGGCCAUAGAAUACAGAACCGAUACACGAACAUUCAGACUAUUAAAAAUAGACAUAUAGGUUGAUCGUACUACUCGUACUAAUGUAUAUCUUUUGUUCAAUUAUAUUAUUGCAUUAAAGUUAGAUUCUCUAGAUAUAUAUUAUUCAUAGGUUCUGUAUUCUAUACGAAUUGUUUCAGUGUAAUUAUUGUACUAAAUACCGUUGACCGCCUGUCAACAGUAUUUAUUUCUACAUUACUAUCACAGAAGAUUUUAGGCCCUACCGUACAGUUUUUGAAUUAGUAUUUACUAUGGACAAAUAUAGCGAAAUGUGAGUUUUUACCUAAAA